rnacentral:rRNA from 1 species
AUUGAACGCUGGCGGCAUGCCUUACACAUGCAAGUCGAACGGUAACGGGCCUUCGGGUGCCGACGAGUGGCGAACGGGGUGAGUAAUGCAUCGGAACGUACCUUUCAGUGGGGGAUAACGUAGCGAAAGUUACGCUAAUACCGCAUAUUCUGUGAGCAGGAAAGCAGGGGAUCGCAAGACCUUGCGCUGAUUGAGCGGCCGAUGUCAGAUUAGCUAGUUGGUGAGGUAAAGGCCUCACCAAGGCGACGAUCUGUAGCGGGUCUGAGAGGAUGAUCCGCCACACUGGAACUGAGACACGGUCCAGACUCCUACGGGAGGCAGCAGUGGGGAAUUUUGGACAAGUGGGGGCAACCCUGAUCCAGCCAUGCCGCGUGAGUGAA